UUGAAGCGGAAGGUUCUCGCACGCGAAGCGGAACAGAAUGUGGAACAUCUGACAGAACUUACCAUGAACGAAAGUACAUGAGUCAGCCUCAGUGUCCGGACACUGCGACCGACUGGAGACAAAGACAGUAAGGUGCGCUAUGUUUGAAGUCCUCUGUUUUUCCUGACACGGCAUGAGAACUCUCCCUGACACAGAGACCCAGCAAAAAAGAAGGAUGAGCCUACUACACAGAGGGCUAAGUAAACUUCUCACAGUGUGGAGGUGGAAGAGAAGGGUGGAGGCUUCCCUGUGUCCAGCAACGGUCUUUCACUGCAGGGCUUUCUGCUCCACCCCUUCAGAACCAGACCCGAUAGAUAUUCACAGAAGGAAGCUCUUCCUGUGGUUCAGCCACCUUCCCCAGGAGGAGAAACAGUUUGGAGGUUACUUUAGCCCUGAGACCAUGCAUGUGGAUCCACUGAUCUUGGAAAGAAAUCCCGAGGAGAGGUUAGGACUGCUCAGCCCCUGUCUGCAAACCAAGAACUCCUCGUUCCCCUCCGUGACUGUGGAACAGCUGUUUGAGCCUACUGAUGCCUGGAGUGAGGAUCGCGGGCUCAAUGUGCUGCUCUAUGGGGCAGUGGGAACAGGAAAAAGUACAGUGAUCCGAAAGCUAGUGCUGGAUUGGUGCACUGGGACCACUCUAGCUAACUUCAAGCUUCUGGUUCCAUUCUCUUGUGAGGACCUUAACCAGCUGUCAAAGAUGACUUCCCUAAGGGACCUGGUGAGUAGGAAGUACCUCCACCUGAAAAAACACCCCCUCCUGAGUGGGGAGGGAAACCAGGCCAAGGAUGUGCUUUUCCUCUUUAACGGGAUGGAGAAGAUACAGUUGGACUUCCGCAUUGGAUCCACAGAGCUAUGUAGUGACCCUAAUGAAGCUCUGCUUCCAGGUGUAGUGGUGGUGAACCUGCUGAGGAAGUAUCUCCUGCCUGAGGCCAGCAUCUUGGUUACCACAAGACUGUCUGCUCUAGACCGUAUCCCUCAGAAGUAUGUUAGUCGUUAUGCACAGAUUUGUGGCUUCAGUGACCCAGACCGCCAGCGGGCAUACUUCACUAGCCGCCUACUGCAGCAGAGUGGGAAGACAGCACAUAACCAAGAGGCCCAGGCUCUAAUAGAGCUGCUUUACCUCAGCCUCCAGAGAGAAAGUCAGCUUGCUGCAGCCUGCUUCCUCCCCUCCUACUGCUGGCUCACAUGUGCUACCUUACACUUCCUCCAUUUCACCAACGUCAAUGCCCCCAUCCGCACAUUGACUGGCAUAUACACCAGUUUUCUCAGGCUCAACUUUGGGGGUGAGGUCCUGGGAACAGGGGCAGGGACUAACGUGCCCAUUCAGGGGCACCACAGUUCUCUGAUGUUGUAUGUCGUUCGUACAGUUGGUAAGCUUGCUUUUGAUGGUGUGACUUACAAGCGCACGUCGUUUUCAGAAAGGGAACUGGAACAGUGGAUAGGAGGGAAGACCAAGACAGAUGAGGAGCUACAUCAGCUGGCCAUGUUCCGCACUGAUGUGUUAGACUUCUUUUUAGCUCCCUGUGUAGGAAAUGAGAAGUAUUUAUCCCAAGACCUCAGUGAGAAUGAUGAGAGGCGGUACGUGUUUGCUGUCCCAGCCAUGCAGGAGUAUCUGGCGGCUCUCUACAUGGUUCUAGGAGAGAACAAAUCGGCUCUGGAGAAACUGACCAGGCAGGUGUCUGUGGCCAUUGGCCAGGCAACUGAGGAUGUGAAUGCCCUUAUGAAUAUCCUUUCUAAAUUCAUCCCCCUAAGAAUAUUUGCCAUAUUCAACCUUCUUAAACUGUUUCCAAAGCUUUUUGAGAAAAUCCGCAGUCGCAACAAAGGCAGUAUUGCCAAAACCAUGGCAGCUGAGAUGUUCCGCACUGAAGAUAGCUACAAUGAGGAUGUCCUGGAUCAGGUGGAGCAAAGCCUUCUUGGCGUCCAUGGUCCGCAGCCAAAGCAGUACAGUGAAGGCCAACCUUUUGAACUGUACCCCAUCUUCAUGGGUGGACUGUUGCAUUAUGGUAACCGUGUUCUCCUCCAACAACUUGGCUGCAGCAUUCAAAGCAGCACCGUGGCCCAGAUCACACUUGCCCUCAGGAAGUAUCUUGUCAGAGAACUCAGCAAACCGCAGCCACCGGAGGAGUUGAUGGAUCUGCUGGUCCUUCUGUACGAGUUUCAGAACCCAAGACUGACUGCAGAGGUUCUGGCCUCAAUCAGAGCCAUCCGACUCACCAACAUUCGUAUGACGCCAAUCAAAUGCUUCGUACUGAGUUCUGUGCUGUCAUGCACACCUCCAAGCUAUCACCUUGAAGAGCUGGACCUGUCCUCCUGUCUCCUGACUCAUGACCUGCUUCAGAUGCUGUGGCCUGCCUUUAGACACACACACAACCUCAAUCUGCAGUUUAACAGCCUGGGUCCGGAGUCUUGCAUCCUGCUGAGAGACCUGCUACUAGACCCCAAGAUUUUGAUUAGAUCUCUACAAUUAUGUAUGCAUACCCAGUGCUCCGCAAAACUCCUCAGGGGCGACUCCUCAUGGGGCCAACUGAAGAGGCAAACCGGAGUGAGACCGUGGUGGCAGGGAGGGCCAGGAGCAAGGAGGAGGUUCUGGCCGAGGCCACUGCCUUCGUGAGGCAAAACGGAGGGGAUCCCAGUGACCAGUUCCUGGUUCUGGCUGACUGCAGGAUCCAGCUGGGGAAGUACCAGUGCCAGAAGUUCCGGUGGCUGCUUGAGAAUGCGCUGGGGUAUGCGGUCUACCUGGUCGGCAGCAUUAUGAGGGAAGAGGAGAGGGACAACCCGCUGUCGGCCAAUAAACACCUGUUCCUCAGGUACACCUCCCAGAUCAGGGAGAUAGGGGAAGCUGUGGAGGUGUACCAGAGAAAACAGGCCAUGCUGCAGGAGGCCCAGAGGACUGGAGACUCUGGCUGUCUAAUGGUGGAGUUUGGCGACUUCAGGGGCAGGUCCAUGAAGGAGGUGUAUGAGGACAAACGCAAGGAAGCCAAGGCUCUCAUCACCUACCUGAAAAAGUCAACAGCCAGGCCAAACACCAACAUAGCCCUCUUCAAAGCAUAUGUGCUGAAGAGGCAGGCUUCCGCUCCAGCCCCUGUGCCCACCACCACUGCCACUGCACCUGCCCUCACUGCUGCUGUGUCUGCUGCUGCCGCCAUGCCCACUGCAUCUGCCCCCACUGCUGCUGCCACCAUGCCCACUGCCACUGUGUCUGUUCCUCCUCCGCCUGCUGAAACUCAGAGCAGGCUCCCGGUUGCUGCCACUGUGAAGGCCCUGCUGGCGCGUGGGAAGCAUUUGUCUGCUUCACAGCUGGCACAAAAAAUAUUGUCUCCAGCCAAACCCUUGCCACGUUGCCCCCCUUCGUCACAGUCCACAGCCCGGAGACGGCUCUUUACCUGCGACACUGCUGCUGGGGUUUUUUUUGAGGAGGAAGACAACCAGGAGAUGGUGAUGGUGGCCUCACAGGCUGAGGAACAACUUCCUCAAGAGAAAUGACACUUAUCAAGUGUCAAGCUACAUUUACUCUUUGAGUGCACUUCAUCAAAGCAAAAAGAGAACUUAAAGGUCCAUUGCUGCCUCAAGAGGGCCUGCUCGCGCCCCUGUUCCUGCCCUGGCCCCGGCCCCUGCUCCUCCAGCUGUGUGGACUCCUGGACCGGUGGUCCAUCCCCCUGCAGAGCUUCCUGUCCACUGGAAUGAGCACCUCCCAUCAUUCCAGCGAGACUGGAUCAGGAAAGCUCUGUUCAGGGCCAACGCUAAAACAGGGAAGCCAGAGCUGAUACCACAUCCCAACUUCUGGUGUAACCCUCCCCAGCCCCCGACCAUCUUCACUCAGCCUCAGUAUACUUACCUCAGCUGCAACAGUAACUAAUCAAUGUCCGAAUGGCAAUACUUUUAAUUAAUACAUGUAAAUAAAUCUUUAUACUGACCUCAGCUGCUACACUGACCAAUCUAUGCCAAUGAAAUGUAAAUACCAUUUUACUUACCCUAGACCUGGAUAGCCAUCAGUGUUAAUAAUAAACAUGCAAGUACACCUUGAUACUUACAUCACUGCUACAGUAACUAAUCUAUGCCAAAAGAAAUCUAUUAUAAAUACCAUAUCUAUGUGUAAAUACUGUUGAUAUUUUUUAUUGUAUAUACUUUGUAUGAUGUUGUCUUUAUUUCAUUUAUAUUACUCAGUAUACUGUAUUAUAUUUCCACAUUGCUUAUUGUUGUUCAUCAGUGGAAGUGUGUUAUGUCUUUACUUUGUUUUUGUAAAUAAAUGCUGUACAAAAAUUCCUAUUCAUCGCUUUGCUUUUAAUUACCUGAAGACUGGAGUGUGCAGUGUUUACUUAACUGAGGUCAGGGGCACUGUAAAUCACAGCAGCUUGUCUUUGAACACUAGGCUCCUGGGGGUCAGAGGAAGGUCAGGGCAGGUGCAUGCUCCUCAUAUGAACUCUGACUCAGGUUCAUUCAGAGGCUACUACAAAUACAUUUAUACUAUUGUUACAUUAAUAACAAAUAGUAGGCUCAAAUAAAUAAUUUAUAAUAAAAAUAUGUAUGCUUCAAGUUGGCUAAACAGUAAUUAUAUCUCAUUUUACACUAUUUGCAUUGUGCACAGUCACUUCUCUAGGCGUAGUACACAUUAUAUAGACUUUAUUGCCAAAUAAACGUUAUAUUUAUUGACAAAUAAAGGUUUGGAAACAGAGUUUGUCAAAACAGUGUAACAUUGUUAAAAAUGUUAUGGAUGAAAGAAUCUGCUCUAUUGGGUGGGACUAUAUAAUGGAUACAAUGUCGCGGAAGAAUGGCACUACCGUCUGCUUAAAACAAGGAUCGUGAGAACGCAACAGACUCUGGUAAACACGUUUUUAAUCUCUGAACCGUAGUAUGCUCAAAUGUUACUGGAGCAUCCUCCAUUCACUUUUCCGUGAAAACUCGCCUCUGGGGCGAGAAGAUUGGGCCCCAUCUUAUUGACGUGAAAGUUCUUAAAAUUUGAGUGCUUGUGAACAAGUGUGUGUUUAUGCAUUUUUAUUUAGAAAUGGGAGUUUUUGCAGCAUGUUAGGCCCAAGAUGAUUUUGCCUCUUUGAGAUCAGUACUCCUGCUUUGGAGAAUACUCUCUCACAUGGGACAGAAGAGGAGGGCAUAAAUAAAAAAAUCAAUUUAAGUUUCUGCAGCUGUGGAUAGCGGUGUCUCUGUUUUUUUUUCUCCAGUAUUUCAAAGGAUUUUGCACUCUUGGAAUGUUGCUUUCGGACAGGUAACACUGGACUUCAGUGACAGUGUCUGCAGUUGCAGUCGAAUUCAUCCUGUUUUCUAGGAUGUCUGAAUCCAGCUGCUGCCACAGAUUGUUACCUUCUUAGGUAACAUUCUGUGGCAGCAGCUGGAUUCAGACAUACAGUACGUCUUUGUUAGUAAUAAAUUACAAAUCACAUGACGCACAAGUUAAAUAAAUGGAAUUAACAAGUACAUCAUGUACCUGAACAGGGUGCUGAUGGUAACAGUUGGAAUGAAGGGUAUGUCUAGGUUGUGACUCUUCCCAUGGUCCUCCAAUAGCAGCUGAUGAGGUCAGCUGAAAUGAGGAUUUCAGCUGCACACUCUACUUUCAAAUGUUUGACUGCGUCUUUGACUUUGGAUGGACUGCAAAUCCAAUACUUUUGUGUCUUGGGUCCAACAUUGUAGAAAGUGUCAUCUCUAAGUGAGUCCAGACUGCAGAUUGUGAUCCUUCUUCUCAGGCUGUUGAUGACUUGUGUUGCUGUUGGAGUGAUCACAUUCGAGGCAUUGUGUAGCAGUGCAUGGUGCAGCAUUUUCAGCAAUGAGAUUUGCUUGGAUCCAGACACUCUGUUUUCUUCUGACAGCUUCCACUGAGCUUCAUUGAAUUGAGGUAGCACAAGGAGUGUUUCUUGAAUGACCUUGUGAUCUUUUGCAGAAAGUGGGGUGAGCUAAAUUCUUAAAGAGGCCAGAGAUACCCAUACCAGCUUCUUUCUUGAUUAAUUCUUUCCUGCAUAUGGUGUGUGCUGUUCCAUCUUGUAGGGACUUCACAAGUUUUAGCAGUGACCUCCUGUCUGCUGUUGCACUUGAGCCAGCUUCUCCUUAGCUGUGGUGCUUGACCUGAAAUAGGUUACUAUUUGCCUUGUUUUGUUUUGUAUAUCGGUGAGUAUUGCUACUUGAUCAAAUUACAAUUACCAAUUAAAUGUAGAGCAUGUGCAAUGCAUAUUAUGCUUCUAAUUUGAUUAAUUUUAGCAGAUACUCUCAUGUUUGAUGCUGCAUCUGUGAAAAGACAUCUGACUUUGUCAGCUAUGGCCCAUUCUUCCGUAAGGGCCUUCUUCACUUGGGCCAUAUUUUCCACUGUAUGGGUUUGUGGGGAGUGUUCUACUCCCCAAAUUAAUGGCGCAGCUUAUGGCUGUUGUUGAUGUAGUGGCAACUUACAGCCAGAUACGCUCCCAUGUUAGCUGAUGUCCACAUAACAGUGGUUAAACUGACUGCAACUGCUUUCUCUAUUUCUUUCUUGGCUUUCUCCUUUUCUGCUUCAUAUCUCUGGCUUACCACCUCUUUGAUGACCUACAAUAAAAAAAAAAUAAUUAAAAAGUGUUCCAUUAAAAUGUGUCCAAGAUACACCAUCCCACUGUCACUUUGUGGUACAACGAGAUAGUUCCUCACUAGAGGAUCAGUGCUGUUCUGCAAGGUGAUGAACAGUCAUUCCUGAAAGUCUGUAAACCACUCAUGAUCUAGCUCCGUGUUGAGACUUUUAAUUUGUUGGCAAACGAUUAUCUUACCUGACAUGGACAUUUCCAGAUCCCAACACUGCCAAUGGACAUUCUCAUUUGUAAUAAAGCUAAAUCGGGGACUAUCUAGUGACUGAAACAGAUGAAGAAAAAAAUGCCAAAACUAAAAAAAAAGCAGACAUUUAGUCCUUAGUGUCUGUCAUGUCCUUCAAUGUCUCGUAAAUGCCUACAUCUUUCUAACUUUACCCCAGGCUAUCUGUUCCAAAUAACUGUAGAAAUCUCACAACAAAAUAGACAAGACACUGUUUUCUCAGGCUGAGUAAUUUUACCUACAACAAAUAAACUGAACAGAUGACUUUUAUUGCGAGACAGCUGUAGGAAAUCUGCUGUACUUGUCACAAAAUUAUUGGAGCUUUGUUAACUUGACUUUUCCAUGAAAAACCCUUUACGCGCAAGAUUAGGAUAUAUUUAGCACUGUGUCUCGGGUUUAAACAUUGCAAAGAAUGAAAGCCACAGUUUGCUGUUGGAGGAAGAGCUACAGUUAAGAGACAGUUCAAAGCUAACUCUCCUGUAAUAGGAGUGUUAGCUAUGAACUGGUUUCUUCAGCGGUUUCUUUCCCUUUGGAUCUGCAGGAUUUGCUCCUCUGAUUAACUACUUCUUAACAGUCCCUUCAGGUGGGAUGUAAACUAUUCAUGCAAUACCAACACAACUUAAUUGUGCAUAUAUGCUUGUUGCUGUUAGCUUUUAAAUCCAUUAGCUCUUCUUUUUUCUGACAUUGUAUCAGAUGUUGACCACACUCACAGUCUGUCUUUGUUCCAUGACGCCCUGGCUAAUGUCAUCAUUGCACGUACAGAAAUGUUUCAUCAAUCAAAUGUG